CUUGACGGUACCUAAUCAGAAAGCCACGGCUAACUACGUGCCAGCAGCCGCGGUAAUACGUAGGUGGCAAGCGUUAUCCGGAAUUAUUGGGCGUAAAGCGCGCGUAGGCGGUCUCUUAAGUCUGAUGUGAAAGCCCACGGCUCAACCGUGGAGGGUCAUUGGAAACUGGGAGACUUGAGUGCAGAAGAGGAAAGUGGAAUUCCAUGUGUAGCGGUGAAAUGCGCAGAGAUAUGGAGGAACACCAGUGGCGAAGGCGACUUUCUGGUCUGUAACUGACGCUGAUGUGCGAAAGCGUGGGGAUCAAACAGGAUUAGAUACCCUGGUAGUCCACGCCGUAAACGAUGAGUGCUAAGUGUUAGGGGGUUUCCGCCCCUUAGUGCUGCAGCUAACGC
rnacentral:rRNA from 1 species